rnacentral:ncRNA from 1 species
AUACAAACAUGAAAAAAAGGCGCCUGAAAAGGCUUAAUAGGGAAUCCCGUUUAAAUCGGGAACGGUCCCGCCGCUGUGACUCCGAAUAACAAAACCCUUCAGACAUGCUCAUCGCCACUGUCCCGGGUCCACCGGGAUGGGAAGGCCGUCUGAAAGAGCGGAGAAGUCAGAAGACCUGCCUUUUUCCAAACACCGUGA